AGUGAACGCUGGCGGUAGGCCUAACACAUGCAAGUCGAACGGCAGCACAGUAAGAGCUUGCUCUUACGGGUGGCGAGUGGCGGACGGGUGAGGAAUACAUCGGAAUCCACUUUUUCGUGGGGGAUAACGUAGGGAAACUUACGCUAAUACCUCAUACGACCUACGGGUUGAAUCAGUGGAUCUUCGCACCUUUCGCGAUUGUAUGAGCCGAUGUCGGAUUAGCUAGUUGGCGGGGUAAGGGCACACCAAGGCGACGAUCCGUAGCUGAGCUGAGAGGAUGAUCAGCCACACUGGAACUGAGACACGGUCCAGACUCCUACGGGAGGCAGCAGUGGGGAAUAUUGGACAAUGGGCGCAAGCCUGAUCCAGCCAUACCGCGUGGGUGAAGAAGGCCUUCGGGUUGUAAAGCCCUUUUGUUGGGAAAGAAAAGCAGCAGGUUAAUACCCCGCUGUUCUGACGGUACCCAAAGAAUAAGCACCGGCUAACUUCGUG
rnacentral:rRNA from 1 species